rnacentral:rRNA from 1 species
UACGUAGGCAGCGAGCGUUGUUCGGAAUUACUGGGCGUAAAGCGUGCGCAGGCGGUUAUGUAAGACAGAUGUGAAAUGCCCGGGCUUAACCUGGGAACUGCAUUUGUGACUGCAUGGCUAGAGUUUGGCAGAGGGGGGUAGAAUUCCACGUGUAGCAGUGAAAUGCGUAGAUAUGCGGAGGAACACCGAUGGCGAAGGCAAUCCCCUGGGCCUGCACUGACGCUCAUGCACGAAAGCGUGGGGAGCAAACAGG